AUACGUAGGGGGCAAGCGUUGUCCGGAUUUACUGGGUGUAAGGGCGCGUAGGCGGGUUUGUUAGUCAGAGGUGAAAUCCUACAGCUCAACUGUAGAACUGCCUUUGAUACUGCAAAUCUUGAGUUCGGAAGAGAGAGGCGGAAUUCCAGGUGUAGUGGUGAAAUACGUAGAUAUCUGGAAGAACACCAGAGGCGAAGGCGGUCUCUUGGUCCGUAACUGACGCUGAGGCGCGAAAGCGUGGGGAGCAAACAGGAUUAGAAACCCCGGUAGUCC
rnacentral:rRNA from 1 species